GACGUAGGAUGCGAGCGUUGUCCGGAAUUACUGGGCGUAAAGCGUACGUAGGCGGUCCCUUGAGUCGGGGGUUAAAGACUGCGGCUUAACCGCAGGAGUGCCCUCGAUACUGGGGGACUGGAGGGUGGCAGAGGAAGGCGGAAUUCCCAGUGUAGCGGUGAAAUGCGUAGAUAUUGGGAGGAACACCAGUGGCGAAAGCGGCCUUCUGGGCCAUUCCUGACGCUGAGGUACGAAAGCCAGGGGAG
rnacentral:rRNA from 1 species